UACGUAGGGGGCUAGCGUUGUCCGGAUUUAUUGGGCGUAAAGAGCGUGUAGGCGGCCUGACAGGUCUGCUGUGAAAACUCGAGGCUCAACCUCGAGAUGUCGGCGGAAACCGUCUGGCUAGAGUCCGGAAGAGGAGAGUGGAAUUCCUGGUGUAGCGGUGAAAUGCGCAGAUAUCAGGAGGAACACCGGUGGCGAAGGCGGGUCUCUGGGCCGUAACUGACGCUGAGGAGCGAAAGCAUGGGGAGCGAACAGG
rnacentral:rRNA from 1 species